rnacentral:misc_RNA from 1 species
AAGUCAUAACAAGGUUUCCGUAGGUGAACCUGCGGAAGGAUCAUUAAUAAUGCCCUCUGACUUCGGUCAGCUGGGUUCAAAUGAGUGCCUUCUCUUCGGAGUUGGCCAUCCUCACACACCGUGAACUGUGGCUUCGGCCAUCGCAAACUGUUAGUAAUGAAUGUAAUAUCAUAACAAAAACAAAACUUUUAACAACGGAUCUCUUGGCUCUC